rnacentral:rRNA from 1 species
GAUUUCUGACGAACCGGAUUGGCCCGUUUCCAUUCUGGGAAUGAGUGCCGCUUUGAGUUUGUCAUCCUUCCAGAGAGCUGCGUCUACCGUUUACUCGGCCGGACGUAUGCGAUCUGGAUCUAUUACUUUGAAAAAAUUAGAGUGUUUAAAGCAGGCUUAUGCUGUGAAUACAUUAGCAUGGAAUAAUAAUCUAGGACUUUGGUUCUAUUUUGUUGGUUUCUAGGACUGAAGUAAUGAUUGAUAGGGAUAGUUGGGGGUGCUAGUAUUCAGCGGCCAGAGGUGAAAUUCUCGGAUUCGCUGAAGACUAACUUAUGCGAAAGCAUU